CUGUGUCACACGCACACCCCUCCCCAUCUCUCGCCUCUCCGCUGCUGCUGCUGCAGUGGCGGGUGCACCUAUCAAACGUUUCGACUUGUGUCGCGCGCGGUGACAGAACCCCGUCUUUCCCUCCGCCUCAUGUCCUGCGGCGGUCUCAGUUAGGCCGUAACGCAUCCCUUCAGCAUCCUGGCGUGCUCUCGCCUUUUUUUGUUGUUUUUACUUUGCCCCGUUUGCUCUGUUUCCUGAGACCGCUGUUGCGUGACUAUAACUCACUCACUCACUAUAUACCCAUAUCUAUAUAUAUAUAUCUAUAUAUAUAUAUAUAUAUAUAUAUAUAUAUAGGCACAUGUAUAACUGUACGUAUACCGAUAUAUAUAUAUAUAUAUAUGCAUAUCUGCUCAUCUAUAUAAACGUAUUUGGCAGACCUAUCCGAGCUCUACACGCGCACAAACGUGCAGCCACACGCGGGUGGGACUGCUCGGCGAUCAACUCCGCUAAGAGCCACUCAAGCAGUCUAUACUGGCGGCGAACGUUUGUAGCGUCGGCUCUUCGUCAUUUCUUGCACUCGCUGCUCGACAAUUUGCCUUGGCGCUGCCCAUAGGAGCAACACCUUGUCCCUGUUCUACUGCGGCGCAUAUGGUCGAAUCCUCCUCCGCGUCGCCGUCAUCGCUGCUCGCGGGGGCAGCAGAGGCGAUCGCCUUCCCACCGUCUGCUGCAGAGCGUGACCUCGAGGAGUUUGAGGAGCGCGAUAGGGAGCAGCAGAUCUCCCGCUCCCUAUGGGCACAGCGAGUUAGCGACUUGUGGGGCACGGAACCGCCUUACGAGGAGCAGCCGGAGGACCGCUCUGGCUGGAUUUUCGGCUCGCUCUUCUAUCAGUGGAUUGGGCACUACAUCCGAGAGGCUUCACGGGAACAGCUGACAGAAAGCGGGCUGCCAAAGCCAACGAGACAGUAUCGCGCCUACAACGCUGGCGUCGCGCUGUCGGCGGAGCUGCAGCGCCAGCGAGCGCGCCGCCAUGCGUGGGACGGCUACGUCGGCGCGCGCGUCGGCGUGCGCUGGGACGACGCCAGCGACGGCGUGCUGCGCUGGGUGGGCGCGGUGCAGCAGUACGGCACGCCGGGGCGGCUGUACGCGGGCGUGGAGUGGCGCGUGGCCCCGUCGCGGCGCCGUGGCUGCUGCGUUCGGCGCUGCAUGGGGUGGCUGCUGUGCCGCGGAUGCAGCGCCCCUGUCCCGGAGCAGGGUCCCGGCGCGUAUCACCGCGGCGAGGUGGAUGGCGAGCACCUGUUCGACCCCGUGGAAGACGACACGGUGCUGACGUGCGAGCGAGUCGAGGACGUUGUGUUUCGCCUGGGAUUGCGGGAUGACGCAAGCCAGGUCUCAUCCACGCGAGCGUUGCUAAAGGAGCUACCGGAGUCCGCGCAGCAGUGUCCCCACCCCAUUCAGGUGUGGUGGGCAGUGUGGACGCUCUUCCGCCAAAGCAUAAUGCACGUUGUUGUUCUCGGCAUCAUCCGAAACGGAUGCCAGCUGAUGACUCCUCUCUUGUUGAAGUGGUUUGUGGCGUACCUCGGUGGCGUAGGCGAGCGCAAAGGUCGGAGCGAGGCCGGGCUCACAGCCACCAUUACUUCCCCCGUUUCUUCAUUAGAUUUUUCUUUGCGUGGGUGCAUCGUGUCAGCAGUGCAGGCUCACCCGGCAUCGGCUGGCAGCGCGGAGUAUGGCUUGCGGCGCUCAUGUUCGUCACCAUGGUUGGAGAGACGCUUGCUGGCAACAAGCAGUACCACGUGCGCCGUCGUAGCUCUCUGCAGGUGCGCAACGCCCUUUCGGCCGCUCUGUUUGAGAAGGUCUUCACCAUGUCCCCAAAGGCGACUCACCAUCCCGCUUUCAACGCGGGGCGGCUGACAAAUUUGAUGAGUACUGAUGUGGAGGUGAUGGGUCGGUUCAUUAUGAUGUUUUGGACGCUGGCCUCCACCCCGUUCAUGCUGGCCAUAGUCUUCUACCAGCUCUAUGUGUUGCUGGGUGCGAGUGUGUGCGUCGGCGGAGUGGUGGCACUUGUAUUCAUGCCCCUGCAAGCCUACAUGGUGCGAAAGAUGAGCUCAAGCUACCGCCGCAAAGCCCAGGCAACGGAUCACCGCGUCAAGGCUACGACUGAGUUUUUCUCCGGCAUCCGUGUCGCCAAGUUUAUGUCGUGGGAACCGUUUUUCAUCCGCCGCAUCGAGAAGCUGCGCAGCGUGGAGCUCUCGCACCUCAAGAAGUUGCAGCAGGCCAUCAUGAUGGUCUUCUUCCAGUUCAACGCGACGCCGGGCUUCGUCAUUGCCAGCGUCUUCUUCACGUUCAGCGUGACCGGCCACACCCUAACGCCCACUAUUGUUUUCCCAGCCAUUGCGCUGUUCAACCUGCUUAUGGGCCUCGUCUCCAUGUUACCGUUUGCACUGCAGCUCAUGACGAAGCUAUUCGUCUCGCUCCGGCGCUUGAAUAUGUUCUUCGACGCCGACGAUGAGCUGGUGCCGGCCGUCGAAGACAUUCCCCUCGCAGCGAGUCGUGCGAUGCCCACGGACGUCUCCCGGGCAGCAGGUGCCGGCGACGCCCAGCAGCAGACACCGUCAUUCAUUCUAAUUCAUGACGUUGCAGCCGAGUUUGUGCACGCAGACCUCAGCACAUAUGUCGCUCAAGAGCUUAAGAAAACGGAUGGCGCACUGGAGGCAAAUAGCGCCGGAGACGGCGCUGCCGAUCGCGCACCGCUACCCGAAGCAGAAGCUUUCCUGCCAGAUCGCCAGCCCUCAUCCUCAUCUGCAGCGCCAGCUCCAGCAGGUCCAGUGACGAACCCUUGAACGCUAAGGGCAGUCAUACAGGCCACGGAGACGCUGCCGCUUCCUCAGAGCCCUUGUCGUCGUCUGCCCAGAAAAGCACCGCUGAAAUAACCUUCAACGAGGACUCCAUCUACGUUCUAAAGACAAAGACGCUGCUGGCGGAUGUGGACCUGCGCGUGCCGCGCGGGCGGCUGACGGUGGUGCUGGGGCCGACGGGCAGCGGCAAGUCCACGCUGCUGGACGCACUGAUCGGCGCGCUGGCGGUGACGCGCGGCCGCGUGGCGUGCUCGCGCAGCGUGGCCUACGUGCCGCAGCAGCCGUGGAUCAUGAACGCAACGCUGCGCGACAACGUCAUCUUCUUCGGCGCGCCGGACGCGGCGGCCUUCGAGCGCGCGGUGCGCAGCAGCCAGCUGGCCUCGGACCUGGCGCUGCUGGCGGACGGCCGGAGACGACGAUCGGCGAGAACGGCAUCAACCUGAGCGGCGGGCAGAAGGCGCGCGUGAGUCUAGCGCGCGCCGUGUACGCGGACCGCGACGUGUACUUGCUGGACGACCCGCUGUCGGCACUGGACGCGCAGGUGGGCGAGCGCGUGAUGCGCGAGUGCGUGUGCGGCGCGCUGGCCGGCAAGACGCGCGUGCUGGCCACUCACCAGGUCAGCGCCGCCGCCUACGCGGACUACGUCGUCGUGCUCGCUGCCGACGGCCGCGUCGCGUUCCAAGGGAGUGGUGAGGCCUACUACAAGGAUCACCUAGCGCGGCAAGUGAGCCAACGCGGCGCCGCAUCCAGUGAUGACACUGAGGGGGCUGCAGAGAAGGAAGCACCCGUGGCGAACAUCACAGCAGAGAAGAAGUUGAGUGAUUUGAUGGAGGAAGAGCCUCCGGCAGCGGACACUACGUUGACAGCUGUCUCAGAGGUGGAGGGGCGCGCCAUAGAAAACAAAGGAAAGCUGCUGACGGAAGAGGAGCGCUUCCGGGGAGGGGUGGGGUGGGACGUGUACGUGCGUUACAUGAAGGCGUGCGGCGGCGUCGGCGCGUGUGUGAGUAUCAUGGCACUCUAUCUCGCUACGGAGGUGGUCAUGAUGUCGACUUCCAUAUGGCUGGCGCUGUGGUCCACCAAGUGGCUUCCGCUAUCCGCGACGCAGUACAGUUUCAUCUACGUCGGCCUUUCCUUUGCCAGCGCGCUGGCAACGCCACUCCGCUACUGGCUUUCCAUGAGCAUGAUGCGGCGAGCCAGUCGGGAGGUGCACCAGGAGCUCCUCCGCUCCGUGGCGUGCGCCACGCUGCAGUUUUUUGACACGACGCCGCUCGGCCGCAUUGUCAACCGUUUUACCAAUGACAUGAGCAAUAUCGACAGCGACCUGCAAGGCAGCUACAGCUAUCUCCUCUCCACCAUCUCCACGUUCUUCUCGACCGUGGCGAUGAUGGUGGCAACGCAAGUUUUCGUGCUUGGUAUCCUUAUACCCUGCAUGGUGGCGUACUACUACCUUCUGAAAUUCUACGCACGCGCCAACCGCGAGAUCAAGCGCCUAGUGAAUCGAGUCAACUCCCCAAUGCUUUCUGUCCUGCAGGAAGCGAUUGGCGGUCGUUGGACGGUGCAAGCGUACGGCGCGGCGCCGGCGGUGAUCCAGAAGGCUCUUCAAUGUGCAGAUGUCGUCUACACCUGCUCGUAUCUGCAACUCGGCGCGGAACUCUGGCUUUCUGUGCGUAUCCAGAUGCUGAGCGCGUCCAUUACUGUCGCCGUGGCACUGGGCGCCGUCGCGGCCAUGCACCUCUCGUUUCUGCCGUCGCACAUCGGCCUUCUCUCCCUCAGUCUCACCCUGGCCCUCGAGAUCAGCAGCCUCCUGGACGGCAUCGUCACUGUGCUCGCCUCCGUGGAGGCAGAUAUGAACAGCAUUGAACGCGUCUUUUAUAUGACAGACCACAUUGAGCAUGAGGACCUGCAGGAGGCCGUCGCAGCGGAGGUUCAGCGCAUCACCGAGGGUGCGCACGGCCCUGAGCGACGUUGUGCAGAGACCUUGGCAGAGAGUGAGGAGCCUUCUGGCCUGGAUAACUGGAGCUCGCCGCUUCUCAUCCGUCAAUCAGGCAACACCCAGUUCGGAGCGCUUGUGCUGGAGCACGUGGACAUGCGGUACCGGCCGGGGCUGCCGCUGGUGCUGCGCGACGUGUGCUUCGCGGUGGCGCCGGGGCAGAAGGUGGGCGUUGUGGGGCGCACCGGUAGCGGGAAGUCGACGCUGCUGCUGGCCUUCCUGCGGCUGGUGGAGGUGUGCGGCGGCCACAUGCUCGUGUGCGGGCGCGACGCGCGCGACUACGGCGUGCGCGAGCUGCGCCGGCUCUUCUCGAUGAUCCCGCAGGACCCGCUGCUGUUCGAGGGCACGGUGCGCAGCAACGUGGACCCCUUUGGCUGCUGCGGCGACGCGGCGGUGUGGCGCGCGCUGCGGCAGGUGGGGAUGGAGGAGCGCGUGCGCGGCGAGGCGGGCGGGCUGGACGGGCGCGUGCAGGAGGGCGGCGCAAACUACAGCGUGGGCCAGCGCCAGCUGCUGUGCCUGGCGCGCGCGCUGCUCAAGCGCGGCAGCGCCUUCCUGCUCAUGGACGAGGCAACCGCAAACGUCGACCCCGCGCUCGACCGCCAGAUCCAGCGCACGGUGCAGCACACCUUUCGCGACUACACCGUCGUCACCAUCGCGCACCGCCUGCACACCGUCGCCGCCUGCGACGUCAUCCUCGUCAUGGACCAGGGCCGCGUUCUCGAGUUCGGCUCGCCGCGCGAGCUGGUGGAGCGCCAGGGAUCCGCUUUCGGCGCGCUGGUGAGGUCGCUCGGCCGUGAUGGUGAACAGCUUUUCAGGGAGGCGAUGCGAAGUGCUUUAGCAGAGUAGCGGAUGAGGAGACGCACCAGCUGGGCCUGCGAGCGAGUGGUGACGUGUGGCGCUUUACUUUGUGUGUGUGUGUGUGUGUGUGUUGCAGUGAAGCACUUUCGCUGGCGUGGGGGAAUACGGCGAGAGCUGCCUCGGCGAUGGUUGAGUGCGGUGCAUGACGAUGCUC
rnacentral:misc_RNA from 1 species